CAUUUAUUAUAAUCUUUACAUUCUUCUGACAAUAUUAAUCGACCUCGAUUUACAUACUAGCGGAUAAUACUAUAUUUACACUACUAGCCCAUGGCUUAAGCCGUGCAGGAUCUAAGACACUCCAAUAUGAUUUGGAUUCCUCUUGCGGCAUCACGGUGCAGCCAUUAACUCCCUGCCGCGGGCACUGACGAUACUGAUGCUCGGUGCUCCAACAUUGGAAGCAUGCUCCCUCGGGUCUUAUUGGCUGCUUACAAUCAGAUAUCCAAUGCCCCAACUGACGGCAGUUAAAGCACCUUAUUUCUUGUUGAACCAAAGAUGUCCUCGGCUUAGGAUUUCCGCUACCUUCAGCACGAGCAACAGCAACUGCUGGCACUUCACGAAACUGUUCGUAAAUGAGGACCUUUUCACGCAAUUCAUCCAGCGAUGUACAAUAUCUCAUAGAUGCAGCAGCGCCUGUUUUAUCUUGCAGCCCGUUGACAAUGUACUGAAUGACGUCACUCGUCGCCAAAUCAGCUAGCAUAGCCAUGCUGCACAUCGCAACGAAAUACUGAAGAGUGCUUCUCCUUUUUUUAUUUUUCUUGACUCCAUCUGCUUACCAAUGUCCCAAGCUGUCACCCUACGCCUAAAGGUAUGGAUUACCUCCUCUUUCAUGUCCUUUUAAGUUAAGAUUCCAGUAUUGUGCAUAUAUUAUUGGGCAGAUCCAGCCAGCAGAUGUUUAGCAUAAAUAAAUCGCUUCAUCAAGUUUACAUUGUAGAGGUCCAUCAUAUCCUCGAAAUCACGAGUUCACAUUGACACAGGGUAUUUAUCGUCCCCAGAGAAAGGACGUACCAAAGCUUCAACAUCUUUGAUACUCAAAGCAUCUUUUUGCACUGGCACAGUGCGAGUUGCGGCGAUUUCCAUUUUCAGUACUGCCACCUGCAGUUCGGCAACUCGGUUCUAGCGGAAAAAAGUUUUUCCAAACGGUCCAAAUCUUGCAUUUCGGUCACACAAUUUUCCGUUAUCUCGCAUAAUUGGUCUGCAUUGCGUCGUUCGAGUUUUGUGCUGUACAUAACGGUUGUUCUGCCAUUAUGUUUCUUAUCUCGAAAUCUGGUAACAAGGCCACACUCUCAACACGUUGGUUUGGAACCUCCGCAUCGAUCAAAUUGUCAUCCUUUUCCAUAUUUACAAUUUGAUUUACUGCAGCACGCAAUUGUUGGAUUGACGUACUUUCACUAAUGUGCACGCCAAAACUUUUUAAUAUAGUACUUAGUUCUGAUUUGGUUUUACAAAUGAUUUCUCUAUAUUGCAUUGCUCGAAUACUCAGCGAAAGAUCUGGGCAAACCCCACACCUGAUUUGUAAAGUCCGCACUCUUUACUUAUUUUCUUCGUAUAUCUUUAUUUUACAACUUUUUUAUGUCCACUCAGUUCAACCGCUCAAACAUUAGUGCCGUCUUUUCUCCUUUUUAUCGAUGCUGGAAAUGUAUGUAUUCUAUCGAUACAUACAUCGCUUCAAUCUGAUAUUUAAGUAUUUAUUACAAUCUUUACACUACUUAAAUUAACUUUAAAUUUCUGUUAUAUUUGUUACAUUUGCAUUUUAAUUAUUAUUUAAAAUGUACACUUUUUUACUUAUUACAAGAAGCUAAUUAGUAAUUCCCCACAUGAAGCCAUUAUUAUUUUUUUCCAAGCAAGAAGCCGGAGAUCGGCCGACUUGCGCUCUGAACCGGAGUCUUCUAGCCCUGUUGGAGAUCUGCAGGCCAUUGUGGUUCAUAGACAACCUGGAAUCCACAGCGUGGAUUGCUUCGCUGACGGAACCACUUAUUGUGUCAAUUUGUUCCUUAUUUAAUGGUGUUCCUUGAGUUGUUUUUCAUCUAGUUUUAAUUGUGUAUUUAAGGUUUAAAUUUUUUAUGUCAGCGCAAUAAAUUUUAUAAAAUUU